UUCAGAUCUGUGAAUGUCUAAGAAGUGCGGGACACGUUUCUGAUUUUGCGGGGUCUCUUUCUUUCCCUUUUUAGACAAACAUUUCUUCGUGUGCUGGUUAUAGAACACCUAUCGAGGUCCAGCCCCAGUGCUUGCGGACGCAUGACAAUGGGAAACAGCCCCUACUUUAGAGGGUCUCCCAGUCAGUCGGGUGCAGAAGGAAACAGAGGAGGAGACACCAGAGAUAUGCAUGUACACAGAAAAGGUCAUGUGAGGACACAGCAAGAAUGUGACCAUUUCCAAGCCAAGGAGAGAGACUACAGGAUAAACCAAACCUGCUGAUACCUUGUUCUGGGACUUCCAGCCUCCAGAACUGUGAGAAACUCCACUAUCAGAAAGCCGCUACUUGUACCAUGCUUAAACUGCAGAGACCGUCACCUUUGAUCCUCCUCCUCUCAAGACUAAACUUCCAAAUAACGACUCUCAACACUGUAAUACCAGCAAGCUUACAGGAUCUCGUGGAAGUGUGUAAACGUCUUCAUAAGCGUAGGAUUUUCUGGAGACAGAUAACUUUCUUUCUUCAGUUGUGCCUUCUACAAGACCCUGACCAGAAGAAACAUAAAAUCGAAGCGUACAAUAGAAGAAAGGAAGUGAUAGGUCCAGCAACUAUUUCUCAGAGAGCUCUCGCUUAACUGGAUCAAUCUCUGCUGGGACAACAUUUUAUCAGCCAGUCCACCCUUGAUAUUAGGCGGAAACUCCAAAAGUUACAAUUAGGCUUACAAACCCCAAUGCACCAACUCCUAGAGGGCCUUUGGGGUAUUUAAUAAUCGAGAUCAAGCUGAGGAGAGAGAGAACACGACGUGAAAACAGGCAGGCCAGCGCUCAAGCUAAACUGAUGGCCAAAGCUGUCAGCCAUGUCUUGCAACCUCAGGACGACCCAAGGGGGCCAAGGAAGUUUAACCACCCUCUUGGAGCUAAAACAGCAAGGGGGAAUGCUUCAAAUGUAAGUCAACUGGC